rnacentral:rRNA from 1 species
UACGUAGGGUGCAAGCGUUGUCCGGAAUUAUUGGGCGUAAAGAGCUCGUAGGCGGUCUGUCGCGUCGGCUGUGAAAACUCGGGGCUCAACUCCGAGCUUGCAGUCGAUACGGGCAGGCUAGAGUUCGGCAGGGGAGACUGGAAUUCCUGGUGUAGCGGUGAAAUGCGCAGAUAUCAGGAGGAACACCGGUGGCGAAGGCGGGUCUCUGGGCCGAUACUGACACUGAGAAGCGAAAGCGUGGGGAGCGAACAGG